UCUCCUUCGACUUUUGUUUCACAUUUGCCAGGAGGAUUAGCUUUCCUUGUUGCCUGUGCUCAGCACAGCAUGAAGAGAGGAAGCAUGGUCUAGCUGGGUACCAAGGAUGUUGCAAGAGAUCCGGGGCCACAGAGUAGGAGCCGGAGAAAACCCAGAGAAGCUGCUGACAACCAUGCCAGUCCCCUGCCCACUCUGCCUCUUGCCUAGGUCUGACAAAACUGGAGAAAUUAAAUUCUUUUUCAGCUUUCAUUUUCUUCAUCCCCACAACAGACACCAGUGUGGUAAGCACAAAGUCAGCAGGUCUGACUUACAAGAGGCUGAACACCCUGUUUUACAAAUGUUUGUGAAACCAA
rnacentral:lncRNA from 1 species